GAGAAUUUUUCUCAAUGGGGGAAACCCUGAAGGAGCGACGCCGCGUGGAGGAUGAAGGUCUUCUGAUUGUAACUCCUGUCAUUUGAGAACAAGUGUAUGCCAGUAACUAUGGCGUACUUGAUAGUAUCAGAAGAGGAAGAGACGGCUAACUCUGUGCCAGCAGCCGCGGUAAUACAGAGGUCUCAAGCGUUGUUCGGAUUCAUUGGGCGUAAAGGGAGCGUAGGCGGUCGGGUAAGUUGGAUGUGAAAUCCUGGGGCUCAACCUCAGAACUGCAUUCAAUACUGCUUGGCUAGAGUAUUGGAGAGGUGAGUGGAAUUCACGGUGUAGCAGUGAAAUGCGUAGAUAUCGUGAGGAAGACCAGCGGCGAAGGCGGCUCACUGGACAAUUACUGACGCUGAUGCUCGAAGGCUAGGGGAGCAAAC
rnacentral:rRNA from 1 species